rnacentral:rRNA from 1 species
UACGAGGGGGGCAAGCGUUGUUCGGAUUUAUUGGGCGUAAAGGGUGCGUAGGCGGUUUGGCAAGUCUUAUGUGAAAUCUUCGGGCUCAACCCGAAGCCUGCAUAAGAAACUGCCGGGCUUGAGUAUUGGAGAGGUGAGUGGAAUUUCCGGUGUAGCGGUGAAAUGCGUAGAUAUCAGGAGGAACACCAAUGGCGAAGGCAGCUCGCUGGGACGGUACUGACGCUGAGACGCGAAAGCGUGGGGAGCAAACAG